GCAGAUAGUCGAGUCUCCUCUCAUUGUUUCCUGGAACCUAAGGAAAUAUUUACUUGAAAAGUCUUUGAGAAAAAUGCAGGGCCCCAAAGCACCCUCUGCCACACUCAGGCAGGCAUGCGUGCAGCCUCCCAACUUCAGGACCCAAGGACACAGAAAUGGACUGAGCCAAGUAGAUGACCACGUGGGGGUGGACAGUCCUGGCACAUUCUCAUGUGGGACCUCGGGCAAGUUCUGUCCUCUGGGCUCCUCACCCCCAAGUCUGCAGAGCAGUCAGCCUGCGGGAGAGGACUGGAGGUAGAAUGGAGCAGUGCUCCUCGCCAUCUUUUGCCCACGGUUCAAAUUGCGAAAUUUCUUGCAAAAUCCCAGACUUUAAAAAAAAAGCCAGGAGAUCUGGUGGCCGAGACCCAGACUUCUUAAUAGAGGCCUGCUGCCUUCCCUACUGCCCCAGAGUCCCCCCACCCGCUCCUGUGUCUCCAACACCCACUAAGGGUCAGCUGCCAGUUCUUCUCCCACUUAUACCAAUAACUUUUCUUGCUUGGGCUCCCUGACUGGCCCUCUGGGCCCUUGGGAUGGCCACCUGCCAGGACAUUCUAGGAAUUCUACACUGGGGUCCUACCCCGGAGAGAGCUGACAUUUUCCCAGUCAGUUCCCUCGAGGGGCAGGGCCUGGGUGGGGUCUUUUGGGGUCAGUAAAGGGCCUGGAUGGAUGGGACCUGGAUGGGCACAGCUGGG
rnacentral:lncRNA from 1 species